GGGGAGCGCGCAGCCCGGCGGCGCCUUCCCGUCAAGCCCAGAGGCGUCCUGGCUUCCGGUUUGGGUGUGGUCGUGGAGUGGGCUUUGCUGCAGGUGAUUGCAGGGAAUGGAAUGUUGCGACUGGCGUCUGGCAGAUGUAAACCGAACCAAAACACUGAAGGCAAUAUGCUGUAAAUGCAUCUGGAUGUGCCCUAAUUGGAUGAUAAAGGCACCUCAACCCCUUUAUGAAAGAGGAUGCUCAGAGCCCUACUCCAAAGAUGAAUUCAGCCACAGUCACUGUUCACCAUAGACUCAAACUAUACUAUCCAAUUUCACAUCUUUUUUCUUGACUGAAACGACGUUCAGAUCAUCUCCCUUCUCAUCUUCAGCUUGUUUUCUCAUCUUUGGUUUGGCAGCCAGCACCUCUAGCCUGGAGGCAUCAAACUUCAGCACACACCAGAAUCUCCUGGCCUGCCUAUUAAAGCAGCUGGUUGGACCCCCACUAGCAUUUAUGCUUCAGUAUGCUUGGAUUGUCAUGGGAUUGUUAUCUGCAAUGGACUUGGAGACCUUAUGAAGGUAUUCCUGGGAACUACAUCUAUUGGGGCAAGCAAUUGUUGUAGAGGAACCAGCUAUCAGUGAAUAUGUGAUUUGUGGAUUAUGGAUUUAGAAAGAUCAGAAGAUAGAAAAAAAUCCCUGAUAUUAAAAGAGAAGAUAUGUUACUUAUAAAACAUAAUCAGUAUAUAUCUUUUCAUGAUUGUAUUUUAAAACAUUGUUAUUAUUACUACACUUAAUUACCACAAACUCCAUAGACUACCCAGCCCAAGAGGAAUGUUCUAACCCCCUGUCCAAAUCUGAGCCCCUCUGAAACUCCCUUUUAUAUGGAGGCACUUCACAACCUGUACCAAGUGAAGAAUGGGAUGAAAGAGAACUAUUUAUAAAUCUUGUCAGGUUGGAGCAGUGGACGGUGGGUUGGUUGCUGAAUACUCCAAACAUCAGAAUGCUUUUGAAGCCAAGGAAAAAAUUUGAUUCAUUGCAUUUUGUUUUUUUAAACCAUAGAAGGGAAAACUGAUCACAUGGGCAGGGGAAAUACUAUCUCUGUGCUCUAUGUAUUUAUUGUUUUAGCAUAAGAUUGUAAUUGCUGCUAAGCCCCUUUGGAGAAAAACUCUCCAAGGCAUGCUGAGGUUAGGACUGUGUUUCUCGGCGUUACUUUUUGGCAUCUGUUUGCCUUAGGCCAUGGCUAUUUUAAAUAUUUAUAUAUUAUUAUACAAGAAGAAAGUGAUUUAAAAACCCAUAUAAUGUGUUAUAGGAGCUCAGAAAGUGAAGAGAUUAAUUUAGAAGCUAAUGGUUAAGAGGAAAUAUAUAAUUAUUUUUCCUGAAAAAAAUUUUCCUAGUAAUUGAGUUUCUGACAAUGUGGUUUCCAAAGGAAUAAGUGUAAUACCGUAAUCUGAAACUCUGCUUUGUUUGUAUGUAAAUGUGCUGGAAUAUGCUUUGUGUUUAUCAUUCCCAAAAGGGGAAAUCCAUUACCUUGUCCUACAUAGUUUAUGUGUAUUAGUUUACGUGACUUCCUAUGUAGUCUAACAAUUACAGAGAGAAAUAUCCAUAUAUAAGUGGAUCAAAGCAUGGAUUUAAAAAAGCAAAGAGAAAGAAGAAGUGAUUUACUGGAUCUGACACCCUGUUUACCAUUUCAGGAUCAAACCAAUACCAAAUUCCAAGGACAUAGUAGGGAGUCCAGCAGACAGUAAAUGAAGUGGCAAAUGCAACCGUCAUCUUUAGGGUCCUCAGUCGAGCUUGUGGUAUAUUAUUCUUGGAUUGAUUCAGUUGUAGUUCUUUUAGAUAGAGAAAAGAGUAGGUGUUUAACAACCAGUUUUAUUACAAAACCAAAAUAGACAAAAAGGAAGACAGAAUCAUAAUUCAACCUGAUGAAUAUAAUGGAAGCAAAUUUCUAAUAUUUUUAAUAAUGACAAUUUGUUUGAAAAGCUUGUUUAUAUUUCAAGUUUUCCACUAUGUUACAUAAUAAAUAGAAAAUAUUAAAGAUAGUAGUGCUCUUAAAAUAAAUUUUCCAUCAAACUAAUAUGGAUUUGAAAUAAAGGGCUACUCAAAUUCUUAAAAUAUAAAUUUAAGAGAAGAGACUGAAGUUGAACUGAGUUGAAUUCCCUACCUUUUGGUUGUCAUGCCAACAUAACCAUGUUUACUUUAUAAAUUUAUAAAUUCCCCCUCUUUCCCAACUGGCCACAUAGGAGGUGUCAUUGCCAUUGUGGGAGGCAGUAUAAGCUUGGCACAUGGAAGAAACACAUGCAUUGGAACUGGUGUCAGAAUCCUAGUUGGCAUUAAGGACAUUGAAGGACGAGGACAAGAUGGCAGAGUAGAAGAACGUGAGCUCACCUCUUCUUACAGAAACACCAAAAUCACAACUAACUGCUGAACAAAACAUGCUGGGACCUACCUCCAAAGAUACCCUACAUCCAAAGACAAAGAAGAAGACUCAAUGAGAUGGUAGGAGGGGCUCAGUCGUGAUAAAAACAAAUCCCAUAUAUGCUGGGUUAGCAGCCCACAUAUUGGAAAGUAAUUAUACCACAGAAGUUCUCCCAAAGGAGUGAAAGUUUUGAGCCCCAUGUAUGGCUCCCCAGCCUGAGGGUCAGGCAAUGGAAAGAGGAGCUCCCGGAAAUUGAGACUGUGAUUAAAAAUCUUCUACCAAACAAAGGCCCAGGACCAGAUGGCUUCACAGGAGAAUUCGAUAAACAUUUAGAGAAGAGCUAACACCUAUCCUUCUCAAACUCUUCCAAAAUAUAGCAGAGGGAGGAACACUCCCAAACUCAUUCUGCAAGGCCACCAUCACCCUGAUACCACAACCAGACGAAGAUGUCACAAAGAAAGAAAACUACAGGCCAAUAUCCCUGAUGAACAUAGAGCAAAAAUCCUUAACAAAACACUAGUAAACAGAAUCCAACAGCAAAUUAUAAGGAUCAUACACCAUGAUCAAGUGGGGUUUAUCUCAGGAAUGCAAGGAUUCUUCAAUAUAUGCAAAUCAAUCAAUGUGAUACACCAUAUUAACAAAUUGAAAGAGGAAAACCAUAUGAUCAUCUCAGUAGAUGCAGUAAAAGCUUUUGACAAAAUUCAACACCCAUUUAUGAUAAAAACCCUCCAGAAAGUAGGCAUCGAGGGUACUUACCUCAACAUAAUAAAGGCCAUAUAUGAAAAACCCACAGCCAACAUCUUUCUCAAUAUUGAAAAACUGAAACCAUUUCCUCUAAGAUCAGGAACAAAACAAGGUUUUCCUUUCACCACUAUUAUUCAACAUAGUUUUGGAAGUUUUAGCCACAGCAAUCAGAGAAGAAAAAGAAAUAAAAGUAAUCCAAAUCGGAAAAGAACAAGUAAAGGUGUAACUGUUUGCAGAUGACAUGAUACUUUACAUAGAGAAUCCUAAAGAUGCUACCAGAAAACUACUAGAGCUAAUCACUGAACUUGGUAAAGUAGCUGGAUACAAAAUUAAUGCACAGAAGUAUCUUGCAUUCCUAUACUUUAAUGAUGAAAAAUCUGAAAGAGAAAUUAAGGAAACACUUCUCUUUACCGUUGCAACAAAAAUAAUAAAAUACCCAGGAAUAAGCCUACCUAAGGAGACAGAAGACCUGUAUGCAGAAAACUAUAAGACACUGAUGAAAGAAAUUACAGAUGAUACAAACAGAUGGAGAGAUAUACCAUGUUCCUGGAUUGGAAGAAUCAAUAUUGUGAAAAUGACUAUACCACACAAAGCAAUCUACAGAUUCAAUGCCAUCCCUAUGAAACUACCAAUGGCAUUUUUCACAGAACGAGAACAAAAAAUUUCACAAUUUGUAUGGAGACACAAAAGACCCCGAAUAGCCAAAGAAGUCUUGAAGGAAAAAAGCGGAGGUGGAGGAAUCAGACUCCCUGACUUCAGACUUUACUACAAAGCUACAGUAAUCAAGACAAUAUGGUACUGGCACAGAAACAGAAAUAUAGAUCAAUGGAAAAGGAUAGAAAGCCCAGAGAUAAACCCAUGCACCUAUGGUCAACUAACCUAUGACAAAGGAGGCAAGGAUAUACAAUAGAGAAGAGACAGUCUCUUCAAUAAGUGAUGCUGGGAGAUCUGGACAGUUACAUGUAAAAGAAUGACAUUGGAACACUCCCUAACACCAUACAGAAAAAUAAAUUCAAAAUGGAUUAGAGACCUAAAUGUAAGACCUGACACUAUAAAACUCUUAGAGGAAAACAUAGGAAGAACACUCUUUGACAUAAACCACAGCAAGAUCUUUUUGGAUCCACCUCCUAGAGUAAUGGAAAUAAAAGCAAAAAUAAACAAAUGGGACCUAAUGAAACUUAAAAGCUUUUGCCCAGCAAAGGAAACCAUAAACAAUAAGAAAAGACAACACUCAGAAUUGGAGAAAAUAUUUACAAAUGAAGCAACUGACAAAGGAUUAAUCUCCAAAAUUUAUAAGCAGCUCAUGCAGCUCAAUAUCAAUGAAACAAAUAACCCAAUCCAAAAAUGGGCAGAAGACCUAAAUAGACAUUUCUUCAAAGAAGAUAUACGGAUUGCCAACAAACGCAUGAAAGGAUGCUCAACAUCACCAAUCAUUAGAGAAAUGCAAAUCAAAACUACAAUGAGGUAUCACCUCACAGCAGUCAGAAUGGCCAUCAUCAAAAAAUCUACAAACAAUAAAUGCUGGAGAGGGUGUGGAGAAAAGGGAAACCUCUUGCAUUGUUGGUGGGAAUGUAAAUUGAUACAGCCACUAUGUAGAACACUGUGGAGGUUCCUUAAAAAACUAAAAAUAGAACUACCAUGUGACUCAGCAAUCCCAGUACUGGGCAUAUACCCUUAGAAAACUAUAAUUCAAAAAGAGUCAUGUACCACAAUGUUCAUUGCAGCUCUAUUUACAAUAGCCAGGACAUGGAAGCAACCUAAGAGUCCAUUGACAGAUGAAUGGAUAAAGAAGAUGUGGCACAUAUAUACAAUGGAAUAUUACUCAACCAUAAGGAGAAAUGAAAUCGAGUUUUUGUAGUGAGGUGGAUGGACCUAGAGUCUGUCAUACAGAGUGACGUAAGUCAGAAAGAGAAAAACAAAUACUGUAUGCUAACACAUAUAUAUGGAAUCUAAGAAAAAAAAAGAUUCUGAUGAACCUAAGGGUAGGACAGGAAUAAAGAUGAAGAUGUAGAGAAUGGACUUGAGGACAUGGGGUAUGGGAAGGGUAAGCUGGGACGAAGUGAGAGAGUGGCAUGGACAUAUAUAUGCUACCAAAUGUAAAAUAGAUAGCUAGUGGGAAGCAGCUGUAUAGCACAGGGAUAUCUGCUCGGUGCUUUGUGACCACCUAGAGCGGUGGGAUAGGGAGUGUGGGAGGGAGACGCAAGAGGGAGGAAAUAUGGGGAGACAUGUAUAUGUAUAACUGAUUCACUUUGUUAUGCAGCAGAAACUAACACACCAAUGUAAAGCAAUUAUACUCUAAUAAACAUGUUAAAAAAUUAAUACACAGAAAUCUGUUGAAUUUCUAUAAACUAACAAUGAAAUUUCAGAAAGAGAAAUUAAAGAAAGAAUCCCAUUUACCAUAGCAUAAAAAAGAAUAAAAUACCUAGGAAUAAACCUAUCUAAAGAGGCAAAAAAACUGUACUCUGAAAACUAUUAGACACUGCUGAAACAAAUCAAAGAUGACACAAACAGAUGGACAGAUAUACCAUGUUCUUGGACUGGAAGAAUCAGUAUAGUCAAAAUGACUCUACUAUCCAAGGCGAUCUACAGAUUCAGUGCAAUCCCUAUCAAUGUACCAAUGGCAUUUUUCACAGAACUAGAACAAAAAAUUUUAAAAUUUGUAUGGAAAACAAAAAUACCCAGAAUAACCAAAGCAAUCUUGAGAAAGAAAAACAGAGCUGGAGGAAUCAGGCUCCCUGACUUCAGAGUAUUCUACAAAGGUACAGUAAUCAAAACCUGGUAUGGGAACAAAAACAGACAUAUAGAUCAAUAGAACAGGAUAGAAAGGCCAAAAAUAAACCCACACACCUUUGGUCAGUUAAUCUAUGACAAAGGAGGCAAGAGUAUACAGUGGAGAAAAGUUAGUCUCUUCAAUAAGUGGUGCUGGGAAAAUUGGACAGCCACAUGUGAAAGAAUGAACUCAGAACAUUCUCUAACACUAUACACAAAAAUAAACUCAAAAUGGAUUACAUACCUAAAUGUAAGGCCAGAUACUUUAAAACUCCUAGAGGAAAACAUAGGCAGAACACUCUUUUAUGUAAAUCACAGCAAUAUCUUUUUCAGUCCAUCUCCUAGAGUAAUGUAAAUAAAAACAAAAUAACCAAAUGGGACCUAAAUAACUCAAAGGCUUUUGCACAGCAAAGGAAACCAUAAACAAAAUGAAAAGACAAACCUCAGAAUGGGAGAAAAUUUUUGCAAAUGAUGCAACCAACAAGGGAUUAAUCUCUAAAAUUUACAAGCAGCUCAUGUGGCUCAACAUCAAAAAAACAAAUGACCCCUCACAAACUGGUCAGAAUACCUAAAUAAACAUUUCUCCAAAGAAGACAUACAGAUAGCCAUGAGGCACAUGAAAAGAUGCUCAACAUGGCUAAUUAUUAGAGAAAUGCAAAUCAGAACUACAAUGAAAUAUCACCUCACACCAGUCAGAAUGGCCAUCAUCAAACAGUCUACAAAUAAUAAAUGCUGGAGAGGGUGUGGAGAAAAGGGAACCCUCUUGCACUGCUGGUGGGAAUGUAAAUUGAUACAGCCACUAUGGAGAAGAGUAUGGAGGUUCCUUAGAAAACUAAAAAUAGAACUACCAUAUGAUCCAGCAAUCCCACUACUGGGCAUAUACCCUGAGAAAGCCAUAAUUUUAAAAGACACAAGCACCCCAAUGUUUAUUGCAGCACUAUUUAUAAUAGCCAGGACAUGAAAGCAACCUAAAUGUCCAUUGACAGAUGAAUGGAUAAAGAAGAUAUAGUAUAUAUAUAUAUAUAUAUAUAUAUAUACACACACACACAAUGGAAUAUUACUCAGCCAUAAAAAGGAAUGAAAUUGGAUCAUUUGCAGAGACAUGGAUGGACCUAGAGACUCUCAUACAGAGUGAAGUAAGUCAGAAAAAGAAAAACAAAUAUUGUAUAUUAAUGCAUAUAUGUGGAAUCUAGAAAGAUGGUGCAGAUGAACCUAUUUGCAAGGCAGAAAUAGAGACCCAGCUGUACAGAAGAAAUGUAUGGACACCAAGGUGAAAUGAAUUGGGAGACUGGGAUUGACAUAUAUACACUAAUAUGUAUAAAAUAGAUAACUAAUGAGAACCUGCUGUGUAGCACAGGGAACUCUACUCAAUGCUCUGUGGUAUCCUAAAUGGGAAGGAAAUCCAAAAAAGAGAGGAUAUAUGUAUACAUAUUGCUGAUUCACUUCACUGUACAGGAGAAAUUAACACAACAUUGUAAAGCAACUAUACCCCAAUUAAAAACAAAAAAAAUAGAUAACCAACAAGGACCUGCUAUAUAGCACAGGGAACUGUGCUCAAUACUCUGUAAUAACCUAAAUGGGAAAAGAAUUUGAAAAAGAAUAGAUACAUGUAUAUGUAUAACUGAAUCACUUUGCUAUACAUCUGAAACUAACACAGCAUUGUUAAUCAACUAUACUACAAUAUAAAAUUUUAAAAAUUCAUAAAUUUUAGUAUUUGAGAAUGCACCAGAUUCUUAAAGCAAAAAGGCACAACUGCAUCUGUGAAGUUAAAGAUGAAAUAGUCAAUUACACGUUCAAGUUCACAUACUCAACACACAAAUGUGCAUAGUGUGUGGAUACAUUUUGUGGGUACAGGAGAUUUGAAUGUGAUACAGAAAAGCUUAACUUUAACAAGUCUAUUGGCUACCAUUUAACGAGUUGUACUUUGCUACAUUCUAGACAUUAGGUGUUUGAUAGAGCUUUGUGAUGGACCAGCAGGAACAAGUUGCCGAUGCUUCUGUCGGGUAAUUGGAGUAACUGUCCUUUCAUUUUUAAUUUCAUGCUGCAAAUUUAUAAUAUUGGGAGUAUUAAAUUACCUCAUAUCUAAAUUGGGGAUAAUAAAAGUAUUGCCUCAUGGGUUGAUUCUGAAUAUUAAAAGAGUUAAUUAAUAUACGUAAACUGCUUAGAACAGUAUCUAGCGCAUCGUAAGUGCCACUCUGCUUCUGUGCUUUGAGUAUUGCUGUUAAAAGCUGUCUACCCCCAAUUAACACCAAAUCUAAGGAAUACGUACUGUGGGGAUCCUGAUGAAGGACGCUUGUCAGGGUGAAGAUGAUCUUUGCAUUGCAGAUCAACAUGAUGAGAAGAGGGAUGAUGAAGAGGCAGGUGAAGGUGAAAAAGUUAUAAAAGGCUUGAUGCCACCAUUGUGGAAAACUGCAGUGUGUUACACAUUGAGAGAAACCUUCUGUCUGUCCAGAGUCAUCUUCUAAAUGGAUCAUCCUGAAGAUGUAUAACUGUAUAAGAAAAUUUUUAAAAAAGUGAUGUUGCUUAUUUUCAAACAGUAUUUGCAAGUUUUCUUGAAAGUUUUCUCUUCUGUAUUCUGCUAACCUUCUAACAUGUUGUUGCCCAAAGCAACUGCUAAGUAUCUUGAUAUUCUUUUGGCAUUUCUACAAAAAGUUAUAAGUGGAUUUUUACUUAAAAUAUGUUUGGGUAAUGUGAAUGGAUCUGUAGGAUUUUGGAUUUCUUUUGCAAUUAUUUCAACCUCGCAGCACAAUCAUCAACCAAAGAUUUAAACCUUGUUUGUAUUUCAAUUUCAGAUGCUAUUAUGCUGAGUAAACUUUUUGCGAGUGAUUUUGCAAGUGAUUUUAUUGUUAUAUCCUCAGCACAUAAAACUGUGUCUGGUAUUUAGAACAUACCCUCAAAAUACAAAUUUAGAUUUUAUUUUUGAGACAAAAUCUCAUUAAAAUGGUCAUAAAACAUGAACAGACAGUUCACAGAAAAGAUAUAACAGUGGCCCUUAAUCAUAUGAAAAGACGUUCAACCUCACUUAUGAGAGCAGUGCCAACCAAUUAAGGCUACAAUGAUAUGCCAUCUUCCACUAUCAAGAUUGGCAAAAUUAAAAAAAAAAUAGCACACUUUCAUGGUAAGGCUGUAGGGAAACAGGGACUCAUACAUUGCUAAUGGGAAUGCAAAUUGGUACAACCAUUAAGGAGGGGAAUUUGGCAAUAACUAGCAUAACUACAUAUGCAUUUACCUUUGACUCAGCAAUCUGACAUUCAGGAAUUUACCCUGAAGAUACACCCCUACUUCCAUUAUAUGAAAAUACAUACGCACAAGAUUAUCCAUUGAUGCAUUGCUUAUAACUGAAAAACAUUGAAAAUAAUCUAAAUAACAAUUCAUUGAAUAGUAACUGAAUAAACUACAGUUGGCCACACAAUGGGGUGCUGUACAAUUGUAAAAAAAGAGUAAGGGUAACGUGUGUGUGUGUGUGUGUGUGUGUGUGUGUGUGUGUGUUUGCAUGUGUACACAUAAAUACAUUUAUUCCAGCUCUGCCUGUGGAGAGAGCCUAGGAAUAAUGACAUCUGAGUAGCAAUGAGCACACCCAGCACUCCAGCACCCAGAUCUUGUUUUCUAAGUAUCAUUCUCUAUCAGAAGGAACCAGACCUAACUGGAGAAAUGGGUGAUCCCAAGGCUGGGGAAAGCAAAGUACAAUAUGUCCUUGGAACAGCUGUUGUGCUGAAAAGUCAGGAAAUGCCCAGAGAAUGAUGGAGCAUGUGAAAAAUGUUCAGGCACCAGCUUGAAAGAGCUUCAGUUGGCCAAAUCUGGGAUAGUUUAAGCAUGAAAACAAACAAACACUGAUAGAAAACAAUGAUAAACUAUCGAAUAAAGAAAGAAACCGUGACUCCAUGCUGAUAUAAAUUACAAACCAACAACGACAAAUAAAUGGGGAGAGGAAAAAGCUCUUUACUGUAGAAAGUCAAUUAAUAAAUGUAAAAGGUAUAGUGGAAGUAGUGAUUACCAUUUUGUAAUCACUAUAAUAAUAAUUGAUUCAGGCAAGAAUCACCAAUGGAUGGUAAAAAUAUGGGUGUAAGUUUGAGGAGAGUAGUUUAUUUAUAUCAUCUCAAAGUAUCUACCUGCAGGAUACAUGUCAUUAUAACGUUAUUAUAAAAUAAUAACUUUACUAGUCAAGAAAUAACCAAAUAAUUAACAUUGCCAAUAAUGGGACCAAUUGACAGUUUCUGCUUCCUUCUAGAAUGUGCUGCUGUGUCACCUCUUAGGUAUUUUUUGCUAAAAGUGUGUGGAUGAAGAAUGUCACCUACCAUAUCAGUAAACAAAGAAUGUUGUGGCCAUCAAGCCAUAGCCCCUGCAGCCACCCCCGACUGUGCACACUGAGGGCAUUCAGGAUGGAAAAAGGCAGGAUACUGGCUCUAGAUAGUUAAGGUGCAUUUCAAAGGGAUGAUUUCAAUAAGUCUGGACUCUUGCAUCUUCCCAUACUUAGAAAAGCACUAAAUUCAUUAACUUGAGAUAUAUCAUUUUUCUUUAAUUAACAAUAAUCUUUUGAUGUUCCGACUACCUGUUUUUUGUUGCAAAACAACCUAUACAUCCUGGCUCCUCCCUUGCUUCUUGGGAAUAUUCCCUCAGAGUUAUCUGAGAGUCUGUCUUCUGGCCUUACGUCCUCAGAAAAUCUACUGAAUAAAACAUAAUUCUCAACUUUUAGGCUGUACAUUUUUUUUCAGUCGACAAGUGCAUAACCUGAAUCUACCCACGAGCAAACAUCAGACAAACUCAAAUUGAGGGGCAUUCUACAAAAUAAUUGGCCUGCACUCUUCAAAAAUGUUAGCAUCAUGAAAUUCAAAGGAAGACCAAGGAAUGGUUCCAGUUUAAAGGAGACUAAAAAGACAUGGCAACUGAAUCCCUCGCAUAAUCUUGGAUUUUCUUUUGCUAAAAGGGAUAUUAUUGAGACAGCGUGUGAGAUAUGGAUAAGGUAUAUAGAUAAAAAAUAGCACUGUAUUAGUGAUAAUUUCCUGAUUUUGAUAAUUAGUACUGUGGUUAUGUGCUAGAAAAAACACAAUGAAGUAUUGAAAGGGACGUCAUGUCUGAACUUACUUUUAAACAAUCCAGAAAAAAAUGUACACAAGAGAGAGAAUAAGGCAAAUAAACAAAUGUAGUAAAAUGUUAAUAUUUGGGGAAUCAAGGGAAAGGUAUCCUAGAAAUCUUUGUAUGAUUCUUGCAACCUUUCUCUAAAUGUGAAAUUAUGUUAAAAAAAGAACAAGUUGAGUUAACUAUUAAGGAAACGUUGCAAGUGGUUUUCAAAAACAAGUUUUAGUGGACAUUUAUUUAUCCUUUCCCCAUCCAUCAAGCACAUUUCUGACUUCGUCAUUUCCAAGAUUUUCUACUGAAAAACUUCGUUUUACCAUGAAACAUUAAAAUGAAAAGAGUGCCCAAGCACUUAAAAACUGAUAGCAAGUUAAUUCAAGCAAAAAUGUUACAGGAUUUUUUAAGCAAAUGAGGGAGAGUAUACAUUUUCAUUAGUUUUGAUUAAAUUAGUAAAUUUAAAUUACAUUUAAUUAACUUAAUAGGCCCAGAAUUUCUUUCCUUUUGGGGAGGGCUGGAGUGGGAGUAGAUUAUGCCUUUAAAAAAAUACUGUUUUUCCUCUUUGCUUGUAGAGUAGAAAAAUUUUACUAAAUGUAAAAUAUAAUAAAAUAUAUACAAAUGUAAUAAAAUAUAAGUAAGUAUAAUACAAAAUAUAAACCUAUUUCUUUUAUUUGUAGUUAAAAUGUUGAUUUUCAGUUUCAGAUCUUUUCAGCGUCUAGGGCAAAAAAGAAUUUUAAAAUCAAUCCACUAGAGGACGCCAAUGAUCAUAUUAUCUACCUUAAGUCGAAACGACAUACAUUCAGCUAAUUCUAUUUUAUGAUCCAGACCAACUUUUUCCACAUUACAAAGUGACCCUUUCAGUUUUUCCAUACUUCUUUGCAAACUGACCUUUAAAGUUCAGUUUGAAUUUGACUCAACAGGUGUUGUGAGUUGAAAUCCUUGGAAGAGUUCCUUCGCAUAGAAUCGGAGAGUCCUAUAUUUCUUAAAAAUCUUUUUCUCUCUACCUCUCCAAUCAGCCUUGGAACCAGAUGACCCGAAUUUGAUUUUCUGCUCUGCACUGGGUCACAUUUUCACUUUAAUAUUUCACGUUUUUAAGUUAUAACGAUGAAACUUUCAAUAAAAUUGACUUUAUAGUACUAUGAUUUGAAUUUGGUUGUCAUCUUUAUUUAUGUAACAAAUGUUACUUUUUAAAGCAACUCCUUGGUCAAAAAACUAUACUAGGCACACUCUGUUGUAAAAGAUGACCUUCAUAUAUCCUGCCAUCAGGGAAUUAAAUUUUUGGUAGGGGAGAUAUAGCAUAUAUGUGACAUCUGUAAUACAAGAUAGACUGUGAUAAGUUCCCAAGGAGAAGUAUCGUGUUAUGAAAAUUCAGAAUCUUACUUGUCCAUAAAUUAAUUUGUUUUAGGCUUGGUUCCGUUUAUUUUCAGCUCCAAGGCCAUGUUCAUUUGAAUGAUUAAUAUAAGGUUCCACUUUACUUCCUGUGGUUCUUUUGUCCUUGGAUCAUAUUUUUAAAAUUUCUUUAUGUUUCUUUACUCUCAUGCCUGGCCCCAGUUCUCAUCAGUGUUUGCUUUAUUUUGCCCUCAACAAUAGCAAUCUGUUUUCCAUAUUUACAGUCCUUGCAGAUGCUAUUCCUCAUAGCAUAUUAUUUUUAACCUUCACCUUACCCACGCUAGUGAC